rnacentral:rRNA from 1 species
UUAAAUUGAAGAGUUUGAUCAUGGCUCAGAUUGAACGCUGGCGGCAGGCCUAACACAUGCAAGUCGAACGGUAACAGGAAGAAGCUUGCUUCUUUGCUGACGAGUGGCGGACGGGUGAGUAAUGUCUGGGAAACUGCCUGAUGGAGGGGGAUAACUACUGGAAACGGUAGCUAAUACCGCAUAACGUCGCAAGACCAAAGAGGGGGACCUUAGGGCCUCUUGCCAUCGGAUGUGCCCAGAUGGGAUUAGCUAGUAGGUGGGGUAACGGCUCACCUAGGCGACGAUCCCUAGCUGGUCUGAGAGGAUGACCAGCCACACUGGAACUGAGACACGGUCCAGACUCCUACGGGAGGCAGCAGUGGGGAAUAUUGCACAAUGGGCGCAAGCCUGAUGCAGCCAUGCCGCGUGUAUGAAGAAGGCCUUCGGGUUGUAAAGUACUUUCAGCGGGGAGGAAGGGAGUAAAGUUAAUACCUUUACUCAUUGACGUUACCCGCAGAAGAAGCACCGGCUAACUCCGUGCCAGCAGCCGCGGUAAUACGGAGGGUGCAAGCGUUAAUCGGAAUUACUGGGCGUAAAGCGCACGCAGGCGGUUUGUUAAGUCAGAUGUGAAAUCCCCGGGCUCAACCUGGGAACUGCAUCUGAUACUGGCAAGCUUGAGUCUCGUAGAGGGGGGUAGAAUUCCAGGUGUAGCGGUGAAAUGCGUAGAGAUCUGGAGGAAUACCGGUGGCGAAGGCGGCCCCCUGGACGAAGACUGACGCUCAGGUGCGAAAGCGUGGGGAGCAAACAGGAUUAGAUACCCUGGUAGUCCACGCCGUAAACGAUGUCGACUUGGAGGUUGUGCCCUUGAGGCGUGGCUUCCGGAGCUAACGCGUUAAGUCGACCGCCUGGGGAGUACGGCCGCAAGGUUAAAACUCAAAUGAAUUGACGGGGGCCCGCACAAGCGGUGGAGCAUGUGGUUUAAUUCGAUGCAACGCGAAGAACCUUACCUGGUCUUGACAUCCACGGAAGUUUUCAGAGAUGAGAAUGUGCCUUCGGGAACCGUGAGACAGGUGCUGCAUGGCUGUCGUCAGCUCGUGUUGUGAAAUGUUGGGUUAAGUCCCGCAACGAGCGCAACCCUUAUCCUUUGUUGCCAGCGGUCCGGCCGGGAACUCAAAGGAGACUGCCAGUGAUAAACUGGAGGAAGGUGGGGAUGACGUCAAGUCAUCAUGGCCCUUACGACCAGGGCUACACACGUGCUACAAUGGCGCAUACAAAGAGAAGCGACCUCGCGAGAGCAAGCGGACCUCAUAAAGUGCGUCGUAGUCCGGAUUGGAGUCUGCAACUCGACUCCAUGAAGUCGGAAUCGCUAGUAAUCGUGGAUCAGAAUGCCACGGUGAAUACGUUCCCGGGCCUUGUACACACCGCCCGUCACACCAUGGGAGUGGGUUGCAAAAGAAGUAGGUAGCUUAACCUUCGGGAGGGCGCUUACCACUUUGUGAUUCAUGACUGGGGUGAAGUCGUAACAAGGUAACCGUAGGGGAACCUGCGGUUGGAUCACCUCCUUACCUUAAAGAAGC